GAUGAAGAACGUAGCAAAAUGCGAUAAGUAAUGUGAAUUGCAGAAUUCAGUGAAUCAUCGAAUCUUUGAACGCACAUUGCGCCCCCUGGUAUUCCGGGGGGCAUGCCUGUCCGAGCGUCAUUACUGCCCUCAAGCGCGGCUUGUGUGUUGGGCCCUCGUCCCCCCCGGGGGACGUGCCCGAAAGGCAGUGGCGGCGCCGUGCCCGGACCUCGAGCGUAUGGGGCUUUGUCACCCGCUCUGGAGACCCGGCCGGCGGCCGUCGGACCACCCCAACCUUUUUAACCGGUUGACCUCGGAUCAGGCAGGGAUACCCGCUGAACUUAAGCAUAUCAAUAAGCGGAGGA
rnacentral:misc_RNA from 1 species